rnacentral:rRNA from 1 species
CAGCUAGGGGAGCGAACAGGAUUAGAGACCCUGGUAGUCCUAGCCGUUUACGAUGGAUGCUAGGUGUGGGAGUGAAGAACUUCUGUGCCGCAGCGAACGCGAUAAGCAUCCCGCCUGGGGAGUACGGCCGCAAGGUUAAAACUCAAGCGAAUUGACGGGGACCCGCACAAGCAGCGGAGCGUGUGGUUUAAUUCGAUGCUACACGAAGAACCUUACCUGGGAUUGACAUAUGGGUGGUAGUGAGCCGAAAGGCAAGCGACCCUUCGGGGAGCCUAUACAGGUGCUGCAUGGCUGUCGUCAGCUCGUGCCGUGAGGUGUCGGGUUAAGUCCCGUAACGAGCGCAACCCCUGUCCUUAGUUACAAGUGUCUAAGGGGACUGCCGGCGGGAAGCCGGAGGAAGGUGGGGAUGACGUCAAGUCAGCAUGGCCCUUAUAUCCAGGGCGACACACACGCUACAAUGGUCGGUACAGAGGGCAGCGAAGCCGCGAGGUGGAGCGAAACCCAGAAAGCCGGUCGUAGUUCGGAUUGCAGGCUGCAACUCGCCUGCAUGAAGUUGGAGUUGCUAGUAACCGCAGGUCAGCCAUACUGCGGUGAUACGUUCCCGGGUCUUGUACACACCGCCCGUCACGUCAUGGGAGUCGGUAACGCCUGAAGACGGUAGUCUGACCGGAAGGAAACGCUGUCGAGGGUGG